UACGGAGGGUGCAAGCGUUAUCCGGAUUUACUGGGUUUAAAGGGUGUGUAGGCGGGUCUUUAAGUCAGUGGUGAAAUCUCCGAGCUUAACUUGGAAACUGCCAUUGAUACUAUUGAUCUUGAAUUCUGUUAAGGUGGGCGGAAUAUGUCAUGUAGCGGUGAAAUGCAUAGAUAUGACAUAGAACACCAAUUGCGAAGGCAGCUCACUAGCAGAUAUUGACGCUGAGGCUCGAAAGCGUGGGGAUC
rnacentral:rRNA from 1 species